rnacentral:rRNA from 1 species
GACAGAGGGUGCAAACGUUGUUCGGAAUUACUGGGCGUAAAGCGUGCGUAGACGGUUGCGUAAGUCAGAUGUGUAAGCCCCGGGCUCAACCUGGGAAUUGCAUUUGAGACUGCGUAGCUAGGGUGCGGAAGAGGGAAGCGGAAUUUCCGGUGUAGCGGUGAAAUGCGUAGAUAUCGGAAGGAACACCAGUGGCGAAAGCGGCUUCCUGGUCCAGCACCGACGUUCAGGCACGAAAGCGUGGGGAGCAAACAGG